GUAAAAUUAGUUUAAGAAAAAUAGUAAAUUGUGGUUUUACAGAUAAUUUUAUUAGAUUAUUUUACU
rnacentral:tRNA from 1 species